rnacentral:tRNA from 1 species
GCAAAGGUGGUUCAGUGGUAGAAUUCUCACCUCUUAUGUGGGAGACCCGAGUUCGACUCCUGGCCAAUGCA